CUCCCAGCCAUCCCCCGAGCCCAGCUCACCGUCCCCGGCCGUGCCCCCACACCUGCCCGGCUGGGGCUGCCUCACUGCCUGCCAGCGAGCUGGGACACAGCUGCGAAAGGAACAACUUUCUGCUAAAAAAAUGCAACUUAGGCAUGUAUCUGCUGGGAAUUCUGACAAACUACAUCGCCCUGAGAAACCUGUGUCUGUAAAAAUGGUGAAACUUGGCUGUGACUUUGGGACAACAUAUAGCUUAAUCAUGCAUCAAAAGAGAAUAGAGUAGAUUUUAAAAAGCAAAACAAAAUAUAUGCUCGUUUCUGUACCAGGACACGAGCUCUGCCCACUCCAGCAGCCCAGCCAAGGGUCCCUGCACUCCCAGGAGGGGAGAGCUUCAGCACAGAGUCCUGAAAUCAAGUGACAUGGAUAUUUUUCUGCUCUGUUGCAUUAGUCAUAAUUACAACAUGCCAUUAUUUUGCUAUCUGCUCCUCUACACUUAAAAUCAGCCUCUGCUUCCACUGGAAAAAAAAAGGAUCCCUAUGUUUUAAAAGCCAUGUCGCAGCACAGGGAGCAUUUAUGUGAGAAAUUAGCUCCAGUAUUAAAUGCCACAUUGGCUAGGAAUAGAAAAUACAAUAUAGAAUGCUUCCCUAGUACUGGAUUGCGAAGCUGAAUUGUUUGCCUGGUUUCCCUCAAUCGCACAAAAAGGCAAAUCUAGGUGUGAUUGUGUUCGUGUAAGUGAUGCCUCCUGUCCGGAUUGGCAGAGCAGAAAUAGCUGAAAUGUUUGGAGAUGCCGGAGGUCAGGCACAGCGAGAGCAGAGGGUGCUCAACAAAACCUCUUAUUUACAGAUGGGCACCCACUUAGGCUCCUGGCUGAGCUUGAGGGGAGAAGUGACAGAAAAAAGAUUGCUAGAUUUCUAACUGUCCUCUCCAUACUUGCAAGACUUGAAUUUGCCAGUUUUCAUCUAUUACUGAAUCAGAAAAAAACCCCAAAGUAGAUUGAAAGUGCUUUCUUAUCUUUUUAAAUAUAUGAAAAAUUUAAUUUAUACUGAGCCUGUUUAACAAUCAGAAAAAAACAGAGGAAAAUGUAAGGACCAGACAGCUGUGUGUACAUGCACUUAAACUUCAGAUGUAUUAUUAAUUCUUCUGCCAAGACAACCCAGUAAAACAAAACAUCUUGCUAAGAAUCAAAUUAAGCAACGCACAAAGAAAUUAAAAUGAACAAAUGUGUAUGUCCACAAAUGAGACAAGACUGCAAAUUGCCACUUCAGCUUCAAACAGCCAGAGCUGAGGGGAGAAGCCGCAGGCAGAACCUGAGAUGCUGCUUUAGUUGUCACUUGGGAUUUCCCAAUGCGUUGUUUCUAAAAUUAUCUCUCAGAUUUCCAGAUGAUAUUGCCAAGGAAUUGGAUAUAGUUGCAGUGUAUUACUUAACUCAUAAAUCCUAAUUAUUAAUUACUGAGGUAAUCAGCUUUUACAAGAUUAUUCUCUUGCACAUACUUAUUCACUGGGCUGCAAUUGCAAGAGUAAUUUCUAUUCCUGAACAGCCACCUCAGUGUUCAUUUCAUGCACAGUGAAAGAGAAAUAAAACCUUACAAUAAAAUUGCCAUCAUAAGAAAAGUAAAAUCAACUCUGUAAUUUAAGAGAAGAAAGAAAUAUAAACAUGGUUAUUAGGCCUUCCUACAAAGCCAGGUCACUGAAGUCACUGAGGCUGUUGUGUAGCAGUGCCCAAACAUGAGAGCCCGGGCAGGGCACUGUGUCCUUCCCUGGGGUCAGAUCCUGCCCAGCACAGAGCCUGGAGUGCUGCAUCCAUCCCUGGGUCAGAUCCUGCCCAGCACAGAGCCUGGAGUGCUGCAUCCAUCCCUGGGUCAGAUCCUGCCCAGCACAGAGCCUGGAGUGCUGCACCCCUGGCAUGGGGAGCAGGAACCUGCAGGGAAGCAGUUUCCACCCAUCUUCACAGCACUCCAGUAAACACAGACAGGACCUUGAGCAGUUAUGAGGGAGAGUUUGAAGUGAACCUCCAGUUUCAGGAGCCAGCCACAAGACGUAAAGCUGGUGUCAGGAACUGGCACCAAACCAGCAGCAUUUGGACACCUGCCUGCAGCCAAGCACUCGGUGAUAUCCAGAAGCCCACGUUGAUCAUAACCAGGUGGAGGUUUGAGGGUGUGCACAGAUAGGUUCAAUGGGGAACAUGGUUAUUGCCUGAAAAUCUGCCAAGGAAAAUGGAGGAUUAUUCAUCUUCUCCCUACAUCCCCAUCAAAAGCACACUUUGCCUCUCUGAGCAAUCAAAGAGCAAAACCAGCAGUGAGACCUGGCUUUAUUUCUGACCCAAAUGCUUCAUGUCUCAAACACAUUGCUUGUGUCCUGUGGGAUGAUCCUGGCCAUGCCCUGUGCAGGUGACCCUGGCUGCUGGUUGGGCCCAGUGCCUGCUGCCUCUGGCCUCCCCAGGGGCAUUCCCAGCACAUCUGUCCCCUCUGGGAACUGCAGUGGCUCCAGGAGAAGUGCCCAGCUGCUGGUUAAUCCCCAAAGGAAUGGACUGCAUGUCCCGUCUGUACUUACUGCCAGCUAGGGAGCAGCAGUAUCAAUAACAUCCUUCUGAAGCUCUCCUGUGUCCCUGGGCUGCUCACAGGCAGCUGAAGAAGAGCCAGCCGUGCCCUGCUCAGAACAAGUCUCUGUCCCAGAAUUAGCAUGCAGGGGGAAUAAGGCUCCCUCUGUCCCACAAAAACCCUUCCCAAGCAGAGCAGUGGCAGGGGUCACCACCAGCAAAGACGAGGUGUCAGUGUGACAGAGCCAGGCGCUGGCUGCUGAGAUCCUUCUGUCACUGCUUUCACUGCUUUUCCAGGGACAUGAGGCAAGGGAGUGGAGCCUCUUUCCAAUGCAAGGAGCAGGAUUUUCCCAAGGAGGACAUGGUUACUCCAGCAACACAAUCCCACAGCUCUGCCAGCACUCAGGAAGGGUCCAGCCUUCCGACCUCCUGCCCCCUCUUUCUUUUCUCUACAGCUGUACAUAGGCUGGGAGAGACUUUACUCUGAACACUGCUCAGCCAGAUUUUAACUGUAAAUCAAUCCAAGAUGGCAGAAGACAUUUAAUUAUUCCUAUUUUCCUCUUAAUUGUGUUUUGCUGUUGCUAAAAUAGCAAUAAUAGAAAGCUUUGCAGCAUUAACUAAAAGCUUUAGGGGAAAACCACAUCUCAUUGUGCUGCAGGAAUAAAGGACCUGGUAAUGCCCAUGGAGCAUCAAAGUUGAAACAAGAUGCUGUUUUACUGGGAUGAAAAGAAAAAGAGUAAGCAAGAAUGUGUACCCAAGAAAAACAACUGAGGACUGAGGUGGUUUUCCAGCAGUUUCCUGAUCGAGUCUCUUCCUUUAUUGCCUCAGAGGUGGGUGCAGAGAUUGUCUCCUCAGUGAGAGAAGGAGGGUACCUGGCAGCCCCAUCAUUUAUAGAGUUGAUUGGGAAUUUUCCAACAGGAACUAUUUGAGAUUGUAAUACGUUAACCGUA